CGGGUGUUGAAUGCCACAGUCUGCUCAGGCUUAGGACUCAGAGGAGAGAGGAGUGUGGUCUACACUGCACAUCUCUGCCAAGCCUGGCACGGGAUUUGAAGUUCCACACCACUGAGCCAAACACAUCCAGACCCUCUUCCAACCCGGGGAUCUGGUGGUAAGCAAAAUACUAUUCCAGCAAGUGAUGCCCCCAGUCUCCUAAGGAUAUAAGAAACAGGAAGUUGUGUUUGGCUGCGGACAAACUCUCUCAGUGCCCCUGGGACUUACAAGAUGUUUGGAAUGAGGAACGUCCGCUCUUCUGAGAAAUGACCAGAGGAAUGCCUUAUAUAUGCGGUGCGUCUCACAGUUCCCUACGGAGAAGGACCACUGAGCCUGGGUGAGGUGGGGGACCUCAGGGCUGUGAGCCUUUGAUUCUCCCCCAAUAUCCUGGGUUCAAAGGACAGGCCUGACUGAGAGUCCUGUGGGGAUCAGGCCUGCGGCUGGUCAAGGAGGAAGUCAGAUGGCUUGCUCCACCACCUGGUGCCGAUUUACACCUCCCUGCUCCCCACACCAAUGCAAGCUGCAUGUGAAGAAUGUGAACGGGGUCCUGGCCCCCCUGAGGAGCAGAGGCAUCAGCAGAGCAGCCGCCCCCCAAACCACGGCAGGGCCUGAGACUGAGCUGGGGGUGUGGAGAUGGAGAAGCAAAGCGAGAGGAAAGAAGUGAGAGGAGAAAAGAGCAACCUGCAUCAUAUGCUUCAUCUCCUCUUGUUCUGCAAGCAGCAAAGAGCAAUGUUGUCCCUUGAAAGCAUACGCUGACGCUGAACUACAAGUCAGCCUUCACCACUGAGCAUGGGCAACUGAAAGAGAAGGUUCCUCUGCCAUGUGGAACAGCAAAGCUGAAACAGCGGUGGCCGGCACUCUGAUGGCAUGGCCCAGCCCAUCCUCCCCACUCUAACAAAUGGUUUCCAUCACCGAAGGCAACUCUAGUAAUAGCCAUGCCUUGCUGAGUAUGUCGUCUGGACCAGGCACCAGGUCAGGUGCAUUCCAUAUUUUCUUACAUCCUCAAGACAAGGCUAGGACAUUGGUAUAACUGCUCCUACCUGAAAUAAUCGAGGUACACAGAAAUAGGUGACUUGCUCAAGGACACUACAUUAUUUCGAUUUCAUUCCAAAGUUUGUGUUCUUAGUCUCUGUACUAACUGCCACCCAUCUUUGCUGCUGUAAGGAAAACUGCAGCCUAGCCAAAGUGAACCCAAGGCUUGCAAGCAGCAAGUCCGCCUGUCAUUGCCUAUGCACACCCCACCUCCUGGGAGAUGGGGAAGGGGCGAUCUUUGGACACUGAGACAUUUUCUUUGGGAAAUACUCCAUAUCUUUGAUCAUUCUGACUGCAGCAGACAUAAGGGAUGGAAAAGAUGCAUUCUUUUGCCAAUGGGAAGGACAUCACGCACAUAUAACACUUGUCUUUCUCCCUGGUAGCCACAGAGCAGGGGGGGGCAUGAAUCUGUUUCUGUUGUCAUCCAAACCAGGACACCCUUGAGAGGGAAAGACGGUAGUAUUAAUAAUUAUGCCAGAACAGGCAGAAACUGGGAUGCUGCUGGACAACCUAGGCUGCAUGCCCACUUUAGUGUCUUGUGGAAGACAUUUUCCCCACAGCAUGCAGGUAAGGGGGCAUGGAGAUGGCUGUGACAGCCGUCCCUGAAGUCAGUCCCCAGAAUCUGACCUCCUGCGAGUGUUCUGCUGGACUUUGGGAAGAUGAGCGCCACUUUUCGGACCCUCUCUGCUAAGAAGAGGACUCGAAAACUCUGCUCACUGCAGAAGCACUGGCGGGACAGGCGUCCCAGGCUGGCGAGAGUGGGCACUGCCAUGCUGCCCCUCACUCCAUCUCGCCCCGGGUUCACACAGGGGACACUGAGCAGCAGCUGGACGUAGACAGAGCUAAUGGAGUCUUCCCAGGUGGUCCCUCCUUUCAGAAAGGCCCCUCUGUCUGAGCUCCUUAACUCUGAAACCAGAUAAGAAGGUGGGAGACAGGGGCCCCUUUUCUCAUGGGAUUAAAUGAACUCAAUUGACAGAGCUCUGGAAAACUUCAUUGUCGCGUAACAUAGUGAGACCAGCUUUGGCAGUGGUGCGUUCUUUCUCUCAGCCUCCACGGCGGUUUCUUUGCAG
rnacentral:lncRNA from 1 species